rnacentral:rRNA from 1 species
AGUGAACGCUGGCGGUAGGCCUAACACAUGCAAGUCGAACGGCAGCACAGGAGAGCUUGCUCUCUGGGUGGCGAGUGGCGGACGGGUGAGGAAUACAUCGGAAUCUACUCUGUCGUGGGGGAUAACGUAGGGAAAGUUACGCUAAUACCGCAUACGACCUACGGGUGAAAGCAGGGGACCUUCGGGCCUUUCGCGAUUGAAUGAGCCGAUUUCGGAUUAGCUAGUUGGCGGGGUAAAGGCCCACCAAGGCGACGAUCCGUAGCCGGUCUGAGAGGAUGAUCAGCCACACUGGAACUGAGACACGGUCUAGACUCCUACGGGAGGCAGCAGUGGGGAAUAUUGGACAAUGGGCGCAAGCCUGAUCCAGCCAUACCGCGUGGGUGAAGAAGGCCUUCGGGUUGUAAAGCCCUUUUGUUGGGAAAGAAAUCCAGCUGGCUAAUACCCGGUUGGGAUGACGGUACCCAAAGAAUAAGCACCGGCUAACUUCGUGCCAGCAGCCGCCGUAA